ACGAGUUAGGGUCUCUCUGGCCCGACCUCCCAACCCUUUGUCUACUUGACCAUCGUUGCUUCGGCGAGCCCGUCCUCACGGACCGCCGGAGGGAUCUUUACUGGCCCUCUGGUCCGCGCUCGUCGGUAGCCCAACCUUUAAAAUCUUUAACUAAACGUGCCUUAAUCUAAGUACAAUUAUUAAAUAAAAGCAAAACUUUCAACAACGGAUCUCUUGGUUCUGGCAUCGAUGAAGAACGCAGCGAAAUGCGAUAAGUAAUGCGAAUUGCAGAAUUCCAGUGAGUCAUCGAAUCUUUGAACGCACAUUGCGCCCUUUGGUAUUCCGAAGGGCAUGCCUGUUCGAGCGUCAUUAUCACCCCUCAAGCCCUCGGCUUGGUGUUGGACGGUUUGGUGGAGGCCCCCUCGGGGGUUCCUGCCCCUCCCAAAGACAAUGACGGCGGCCUCGUUGGACCCCCGGUACACUGAGUUCUUCACGGGACACGUAUCGGACACAUGGGUUUACGGGACACGGUCUGCCUCCCCUCAGGGAGAAUCUUUCUAAGGUUGACCUCGGAUCAGGUAGGGAUACCCGCUGAACUUAAGCAUAUCAAUAAGCGGAGGAAAAGAAACCAACAGGGAUUGCCUCAGUAACGGCGAGUGAAGCGGCAACAGCUC
rnacentral:rRNA from 1 species